AUUGAACGCUGGCGGCAGGCCUAACACAUGCAAGUCGAGCGAGAGGCGGACGGGUGAGUAAUGUAUGGGGACUGCCCGAUAGAGGGGGAUAACUACUGGAAACGGUAGGUAAAACCGCAUACUAUCGGAUAACCCAUAUGGGAGUAGCUAGUAGGUGAGGUAAUGGCCCACCUAGGCGCCGAUCCCUAGCUGGUCUGAGAGGAUGAUCAGCCACACUGGGACUGAGACCCGGCCCAGACUCCUACGGAGGAAGCAGUGGGGAAUAUUGCACAAUGGGCGCAAGCCUGAUGCAGCCAUGCCGCGUGUAUGAAGAAGGCCCUAGGGUUGUAAAGUACUUUCGGUCGUGAGGCGUUACCGACAGAAGAAGCACCGGCUAACUCCGUGCCAGCAGCCGCGGUAAUUC
rnacentral:rRNA from 1 species